GACGAACGCUGGCGGCGUGCUUAACACAUGCAAGUCGAACGGUAAGGCCCUUCGGGGUACACGAGUGGCGAACGGGUGAGUAACACGUGGGUGAUCUGCCCUGCACUUCGGGAUAAGCCUGGGAAACUGGGUCUAAUACCGGAUAGGACCCUGGGAAUGCAUGUCCUGGGGUGGAAAGCUUUUGCGGUGUGGGAUGGGCCCGCGGCCUACCAGCUUGGUGGGGGGGUGAUAGCCUACCAAGGCGACGACGGGUAGCCGGCCUGAGAGGGUGACCGGCCACACUGGGACUGAGAUACGGCCCAGACUCCUACGGGAGGCAGCAGUGGGGAAUAUUGCACAAUGGGCGCAAGCCUGAUGCAGCGACGCCGCGUGAGGGAUGACGGCCUUCGGGUUGUAAACCUCUUUCAGCACCGACGAAGCGCAAGUGACGGUAGGUGCAGAAGAAGGACCGGCCAACUACGUGCCAGCAGCCGCCGCCG
rnacentral:rRNA from 1 species